CAACCGCCAGCACAGCUGCGCCGGUAAACAGGAAACCCCAAGGCCAGGGCUCCGGCGGGACUCACAACCCCAACCCCGCAGCAGCACGGCGGCUCCUGCCAGCAAACACCCCCGGCCCCCGGCGAGGGGCCGGGGUGGGAGAGGAGGCGACGGUCCAGCAGAAUGGUCCCAGUGCACUGGCAAGCACGGGCACCUUCCCCCAGCGAUGGGCACCCUAAACGGCCCCAGGUGGGAGCUGACGGGCAGCGAUGGACCAGCAGUGUGGAGAAGGGCUUGGGAGAAGGGGAGCUGCUCUAGGAGGUCGGGGAAGGCCAAACUAACCACCCAAGUUUGGGAGCAUUUUGGUACCGUCACAAGCCCCGGUCGCAGGGGCUGAGGAUUCCACUCCCAGGCAGCGGGGCCGGGGCAUGGGGAUGUCACCAGCCCAGGCCAGAGGCAAUAAAGCGCCUGGAGUGAUGCAGCAAAA